AGGAGACAUGAUGAUACAUAUCCAUCGUUUCUGCAUUUGAAUGAUGAAUACAAACAUGCACUACCAUCUGAUCUCUU